UUGUGGUUACUCUAUGGCCUGACUUUCCCUUUUGUACAUUAGGAGAGGGCCCUGUCCAGCUGUUUUCCGUGAAUCCAUCCAUCAGCAGCACAGGAAGGUGAAGAAGGUGAAUGGGGACUGCCUGAGAGGAGAAGGUGGCCAGCAGCGGAAAAUCAGAACAGGCGAGUGCUGGGUGCAGAGUAGGAGUGGGCAUCUGCGGCUCCCAGAAAGGACCAAGGUUACAACUUGCUGAUCCAAACCCAACUCAGCAGUGACUAAAAUCUGUUGCUGCAGAACAAUACUGGCAGAAGAACAAAUGGAUCCCAUGAAUAAAUUCAGGCUGAUAAUUAGAAGACAGUUUCUAACCAUCUGGAAUAGCAAGCAGCCUGCAGAAGGUUGUGGAACAGCCUUCAGAAGAAUAAUGGAAAGAGAUGAUCGAAAUUUUUUGAAGAUGAAACUUGAUAAGCUUCUGCAUGGGAUUGUUCAGGAUGAUUGUCUGCAACAACAGGGGGCUGAAAUUAAAAAAAGUUCAUGCUGUUGCAUUCAGUCCUUUGUGCAAUGGGAGGGAAUGCUAUGUCAGACCAUAAGGAUGAACAUCUGUGUUACGGAAUGAGGAUGAUGAAUGUAGAGGCCAAGAAUGGGAUGGACAUGGAUCACUUCUCCUUACUAAGCAGAGACAUUCACCACUACCGGUUAUCAGAACUGGGGCUCUGAAAUAGAUAGCCUACAAGCCUCAUUCACUAUGAAGCUCCUGUGUUCAUUCCUGCUCUUCAAAUAACUUUUUCUCUCUGGCUUUCUUUGCUCUUGAAGAAAUAGAUUUGAAGAAUUUUGAAAAAUCAACAUAUCGAUUUACAUUUUUGAAACCGUAGAUUGUAUUACCAAAUGACAUAGAGGAAUAUAGGUGAUUAUUCAGCUAUCUAAGUGCCGUUUGCAUGAAACUUUUCCUGAGAAAAGAAAUCCAAUCUAUUAAUAUUUCACCGUAUAUAGGAUUCAUUUCUUGCAUGGAAUAUAUUGAGUUGUUGGCGGUUUUUAGUGUGAACUUUUCUUCUGGUAAGUUUGCCAUGUAAAAUGGAGCAGUCCACCAUAAUCUUAGGACCAGUUCGGUUAGGUGCUAAACACUUACUGGUGUUGGCAGCAUCAACAUAUUGUAAAGUUGAAUCUUUUAUUUACAUAACAAGCUUGAUAUUUGAUUAAGUUUAUCAUUAGAUCACUAAAUGUACUUAAAAUAUUGUGGCUAAUAUUAAAAGUGUCAUAGAAAUUAAAACUUUUAAAUGCUACUGAA